UACAGAGGGUGCGAGCGUUAAUCGGAAUUACUGGGCGUAAAGCGUGCGCAGGCGGUUCGCAAAGACAGGUGUGAAAUCCCCGGGCUUAACCUGGGAACUGCGCUUGUAACUAGCGGGCUAGAGUGCGGCAGAGGGGGGUGGAAUUCCACGUGUAGCAGUGAAAUGCGUAGAUAUAUGGAGGAACACCGAUGGCGAAGGCAGCCCCCUGGGUCGACACUGACGCUCAUGCACAAAAGCGUGGGGAGCAAACAGG
rnacentral:rRNA from 1 species